AGAGUUUGAUCAUGGCUCAGAGUGAACGCUGGCGGCGUGCUUAACACAUGCAAGUCGAACGGAUGAAAUAAGCUUGCUUAUUUCGUUAGUGGCGCACGGGUGAGUAAUGUAUAGCUAACCUGCCCUUUAGUGGGGGACAACAGUUGGAAACGGCUGCUAAUACCCCAUACUCCAACUUAUCUUAAGAUAAGUUGGGAAAGAUUUAUCGCUAAAGGAUGGGGCUUUAUGGUAUCAGCUAGUUGGUGGGGUAACGGCCUACCAAGGCAAUGACGCCUACCUGGUCUGAGAGGAUGAUCAGGCACACUGGAACUGAGACACGGUCCAGACUCCUACGGGAGGCAGCAGUGGGGAAUAUUGCACAAUGGAGGAAACUCUGAUGCAGCAACGCCGCGUGGGAGGAUGACGCAUUUCGGUGUGUAAACUCCUUUUAUAAGGGAAGAUAAUGACGGUACCUUAUGAAUAAGCACCGGCUAACCCCGUGCCAGCAGCCGCGGUAAUACGGAGGGUGCAAGCGUUACUCGGAAUCACUGGGCGUAAAGGAUGCGUAGGCUGGAGAUCAAGUCGAGAGUGAAAUCCAACGGCUCAACCGUUGAACUGCUCUCGAAACUGGUCACCUA
rnacentral:rRNA from 1 species